UGAAACGAAUGACAGGAGAAGUAAGGAAUGGGUUGGGGAGACCCAAAUGCAGGGGCUGGGGAAGGGUGGCUAGGCCGUCCAGGUGCUGAGGACCUCCAUGGUUAUCUGAGUCGGCUUCCUUCUCCUCCAUAACAAGGAAAUAGCAGGGCUCACGGUUUCACAGAGUAAAAGGGAAUGGAGGUUACCAUGUGCUCGUAUCUGUAAGGCUACCUGGGAAAGCAAAGGCCACAGGGGUGGUCGUACUGGGUGAGACCCCAGGCCUCCUGCUGAGCAACUUCAGGCCAUCAGGGAUGUUCCCCCAAGCCCUUUAGCCCAACUCAGGGGUUUCUGAGUGACUAACUAUACCUCUUCUUUGAAUACAGAACAAUGUAAGUAACACUGCCAUUUUAUUUAUCUCUCCCACUCAUAGUUUUCAAAGUUCUUUUUGUGAAAUGGGCAGCUGUUGUGAACCCCAUUUCACCACGGAUGCCCUGUGGUCCAGGGAGUUAAUGGCUUGGAUAUGGUCACUAUGCUAAACAAGGGCAGAGCUGAGACUUCAGCUGAGGCCCUGACCACUGUGUCCAGUGCUUCUCUGGAUGAUAAAAAAGGCAUGAUGGGGACAAAUGGAUGCUUUCAUUCCAGAGACUCCUACGACUCUAUUAGUCAUCCUUUAAAAAUAUUGGAGUUACCUAGACUUAAUGUAAAUGGGGCUUAGCAUAUCUUAAAUAGUCAACAGCCAGCCUCAGCUUUAAAAAUACAUCAGAUUAGCAUAUGCAUGUCCUGGUGGUGUUCAUUUUUAAGGCUAUUGCCAACCAGGGGCUUUUUGGCAACAGGGAGAGCCUGGUCAUUACUCCUGAUACAAAUCUCCUUAUUGAAUAACAGUGAACAAGGGCUUCUAAGCCAGAGCUGGCAUUAAACCGGAGAACGGGCAGACACUCGGGCCAAGUUCUGGCGCUUUGGCAAGCAUGAGACAACAACAGUCAGGGCAAAGGGAUUCUCCCAUUUUAACUUCUGCUCUCUUCUCCUUGGGUCAUUCUAUUUUUAGUGUGGUCACAUCUCACCCACAGCUUGGUCCUCAGGUUAAAAGGUAAAGCUAUCAGCAAUGGACAAAUCACUCCUGAACAUCUCUCAGGAAGGGACACGCUGUCUGUGGUAAACGGAAGCCGGGCAGCUCUCGUCCAGGGCCGGGCAGAGUGCUGGGACUGCAGGGAGCAGAUGGCACUGGCGGCUUGAGGUCAGGCUGCAUGGCAGAACAGCAAAACAUGUCUUCAGAUGGGAGGAUGCAGCACAGAGCUCCCUCCCGCGGGGACGCACACAGGCCCUGCUGUGCCAGUGGGGAGUGAGGCUCCCAGCUCACACCCAAGGGGGCCUGUGCCCGUCUGAGUGGAGAGGCCGCUGAGGGGCCGGCACGGACGGAGUGGGCGUGCACACACGCGUGUGUGUGUGUGUGUGUUUCUCUUUCUUUCUUUGUACACAGAGUUGAAUCUGCGUAAGUUAAAUGAACAUAUGAUGUGACUCCACUAAAAAGAGUAUCAGGGUAAAAGUUAAAUAACAUAAUGUUAAAAAAAAGCAGGAGGGGGUCUAUGUUCAUCUACCCCCUGCCUCAGUUCAAGAGCAUCUGGCAGCAGGAGGAACGCCCAGAGCUGUCGAUGUGCGGAGUUCUACGGGGCAUCCCCAGCCACCUUGGAUGAGGGCCUAGAACUCUCUCUUGAGGCUUAACAGGUCAUCCAGCAAAACGAGCGGCUGUCUUCUCAAGGUUUUGUGACUUUAAAAUGUUGUCACCUGUGAACCCAGCGCUGGACUGGAAGCCUCACAAGUCCAUGGGCCCCACUCUGUGCCCUGUGCAGGCUGCUCACUCUACAACUCGCUUCACGCCCGGCCCCUCACGGUCCCCCUUCCUUCCACAAAGCCCAAACCGAAGGGAUGCUUCAGGGAUGGGGCAAAAAGCAGGAGUUCGUGGGCCUGUGAAGGCUUCCCGAGAAAAAAGCUCCUCUUGGUCAGGCGGGCGGGAGUGCUGCCACCGGCUGCUCCUUCCUCUCCCGAGGACCCCACCUUCAGGAGGCGGGCUCUCUGCUGAGACACACUGGCCAGGGAGCGCGUCGGAGGCUGGGGCCGUUUAGGAGACAUGGGCCUGGAUGUUUCCUCAGUCCACUCUGCUCAAAGCACACGCUCAGGUAAAGAAACACAAAUUUUCCAUUUCAGGAAAAAUAUUUGUCCACUGAGAAGAGAGAUGACCUUUACUCUGACCAAGAGAUUAUUUUGAGCGUGACAACAUGGACCCAGAAUGCCUCUAGGAGCACGUGGUUGGCACCUGGGACCAAAGCAACGGCAUUAUCAGCACUGAGCCUGCUUCUGCCUCUGUUUUCUGGCAGCUCUUACAUAUUGAGUCAAUAAAUCCAGAUGCUGGCAAGACACAGUGCCUGCCCUGUAGGGUUGGCAACUGGGGGAGCCCAUGAGGAGCACAGACACCCUCUGUCACAGAGGGGAGAGGCAGCGGGGUCAGAAAGGCAGAAUGGGACGGUAUUGCCAGGGGACUUAGUCACAUGGCUGAGAAGUACCAAUUUAACUCAGUGCGUGAUGGCGACUUUGAGUGUCUCCCUCAACAUUCAUACGCCGAAGCCCUACCCAACCCCUAAGCCUAUGGCAUUUUAUUAGCGCAGCCCACACCGGCUGAGAUGGGCCUCUAAGGUUCUCAGAGAACAGGGGAUGCUGCUCAGCUGCUCAACGACUGGGCCAGUCCGGCCUCUCCUCUAGUCCUCACAACACCUCUGGGCAGUGGCAUCACCCCCAUUUUACAGAUGAGAAAAACAGAGUCUUGACUUGCCUACUGUCACAAAGUCAGGACUAGAGGGCAGGUCUCUGCUUCAGUCCACAUGUUUCCUGCUCUGCCACGUUCCAGACUCAGCGACACCCUCAGCUAGAGGGUAAACCAACAAUCAGGCAUCUUUGUGUCUAUUUUCCAUCUCAUCAUUUGUCAGAGCUUCUAUUAAGUCACGUUUCUCGCAGGUGAUAACUGAAUCUGUCGGCACCUCUCUUAGGUGUUCUUCACGUACAUUAAACAAAAAACCUUUCUUUGA